CUGAGGGUCAUAUGGCUAUUUGGUUUUCCUGGAAUAAAUCUACCCUGGAUGCACCGACUAGAAAUCAUAGGUGUGGGGUGGCCAAGAGUGUUGUCUCUCUUCAACAUUUCAGUUGGCGCAUGCUGCUGGUUACAUCAAGACAGACUGGUGGGCACCUAACCAAUCUCUCCCCAUGGAAUGUUUGGCAUCCCCGCGCUCCUUUUCUUCUUUAGUUCCAGGCUUCAUGGAUGAAGAGCAAACAGGACAGAGUUCUGUUCAUCUUGGGCUUAUCCACAUGCCAAAUCCUGGCUUCCAGCCUUAUCCCUCUGUUCCAACUCCCUUAUUGUCUCCACUUUGGCAUCUUCUUAAUGAAUAGCUAUUUAAAAACCAACCAGAAAGGACACGCAAGUCUCGAAUCAAGGCAACUUGUUGAUGGAAGAAGACACACUAUCAGAAGAGGAGUGUCAAGGAGUAGAAUUGCUGAAGAUGGAACAUACAAAGCACCCAGAUGGAUUUGUGGUGGCUUGAGGACAAGGUUUCAGCAGGAGAUUAUACUAAUCACCGACUCGAUGGGCCUGUGAGCUUGAGUUCUACGUAGAGCCAGACCAUAAACAAAAAGAUCCUUCAUCUCUUCGGGACUGAAGUGCUGAGACAGUUAUUCAAAGUUCUAAGCAGUUUUUCAGACCUUCCUGAAGAUGACCUGGAGAUUCUCCAAAAUUCAGUUUGGUGAGUCUUAAAUAAGUGCUGACAAUAUGCCAAGCAGAGGGUUUGUACUAAGGAGACAGCAGUGAUUGAGAUGUCUUUCCUGUCCUUGAGGAGCUCUCAGUCUAAUGGGGGCCAUUUUUCUGUUCCAGGUGCAAAUACAGAGAUUAUGUCACACAUGGAAAUAGUUAAAUGUCUGAGAGCCUCUAUUCCAAGUAGCGUUUGAAAAUUAGUACAGAAGCAUCUGCAGUAUAAGACCAUGGGGGAAAAAAUGGAAAGUUAUCAGGAAAACAAAGGAGAAAGUAAAG
rnacentral:lncRNA from 1 species